CCUACGUGAUGCAGCAGUGGGGAAUAUUGCGCAAUGGGCGAAAGCCUGACGCAGCGACGCCGCGUGAGGGAUGAAGGUCUUCGGAUCGUAAACCUCUGUCAGCAGGGAAGAACGGUCACUGUGCUAAUCAGCAGUGAAUUGACGGUACCUGAAAAGGAAGCACCGGCUAACUCCGUGCCAGCAGCCGCGGUAAUACGGAGGGUGCGAGCGUUAAUCGGAAUUACUGGGCGUAAAGCGCUCGUAGGCGGUAUGUCAAGUCAAGGGUGAAAUCCCCGGGCUCAACGCGGGAACUGCCUUUGAAACUGGCAAACUAGAGUGAGAGAGAGGAAAGUGGAAUUCCAGGUGUAGGAGUGAAAUGCGUAGAUAUCUGGAAGAACAUCAGUGGCGAAGGCGACUAUCUGGCACAUAACUGACGCUGAGGAGCGAAAGCGUGGGUAGCAAACAGGAUUAGAUACCCUAGUAGUC
rnacentral:rRNA from 1 species